UAGAGAAAAUUACAAAGCUGAAUGGAACUCUGAAGAUCAUAUAUUUGAGCCAUUUGAUUCGAGACUGAAGAACCUAAAACCUAAAGGUGUCUAAUAUGGCUACUUUGGAAUCUGACCCAGACGGGACGCCAAUUGCUGGUUUAGACACACCUGUGUGUCUUUUUGCAGGAGCCUGGGGAGGGGCCAUGGUGCCAACCCAGUUGUGGGGGAGACUGGAGAAGCCGCUUCUCUUCCUGUGCUGCACCUCCUUCCUCCUGGGGCUGGCUUUACUGGGCAUACGGCCGGACAUCGCCCCUGUUGCUUAUUUCUUUCUCGCCUUGGGUGGCUUCUUUUUGUUUGUUUGCCUCCUGGCCUGUUCUCUGGAAUGGGGGUUCCGAUCAAUGCAGACGGAGAGCCCAGGGGCCUCAGGCAAUGCACGUGACAAUGAAGCCUUUGAGGUGCCAACCUACGAAGAGGCUGUGGUGUUGGAAUCACAAUGCCGCCCCCAGCUGUUGGAUCAGCCACCCCCCUACAGCAGUGUUGUAAUCCCCCCAGAACUUGAGGAAGGACAACCUAGCAAUCCAGACGGCCCCAAUAGAGCCCGAUUAGAAAGGCGAGUGGGCUCAGAGGGAUCUAUGACCCCACAAAACUCUGGAAGAGAUCCAGUCAGCCUUCGGCUUCGGGGAUCCCGGGUCAUGUCCACUGCUCCUGAUCUGCAGAGCUUGGGGGUGCCCCCCAAAUUGGAGCCUCUUACUCCACCUCCUGCCUAUGAUGUCAGCUUUGGUCAACCUGAUGAUGAUGUUUUCUCUGAAAACAACGGGACGCCCCCCUAAAAGACUUUACCACGAUAUAUCAUCUCUGCACCAGACCCAUUCAUGCAUUUGACCAACAGUUCCCCGUGCCUGCUGUGUCAGGAACUGUGUUUCUGCAUGGGGAACUGAACACAGAGGGGAGUCAGGCUAUGGUCCUCCACAAAAUCUCUCAAUCCCUAUUGGACAACUGCUGGACAGAGGUGGGAGACUUCCUAUAGACAGAAUGGUGGAAUAGUUGUGUCUGCAGACAGUGUGGGCUG